GUUCCGGUAGUGUAGGGUUAUCACGUUCGCUUUACACGAAAAGGUCUCCGGUUCGACCCCGGACGGAAACC